UCGGCUCAUCACAUCCUGGGGCUGAAGUAGGUCCCAAGGGUAUGGCUGUUCGCCAUUUAAAGUGGUACGCGAGCUGGGUUUAGAACGUCGUGAGACAGUUCGGUCCCUAUCUGCCGUGGGCGUAGGAGAAUUGGUUGGGGCUGCUCCUAGUACGAGAGGACCGGAGUGGACGCACCACUGGUGUUCCGGUUGUGUCGCCAGACGCAUUGCCGGGUAGCUAAGUGCGGAAGAGAUAAGUGCUGAAAGCAUCUAAGCACGAAACUUGCCAAGAGAUGAGUUCUCCCAGAUUAUAAAUCUGUAAGGGUUGUUUAAGACGAAGACGUAGAUAGGUCUGGUGUGUAAGUGAUGUGAGUCAUUGAGCUAACAGAUACUAAUUGCCCGAGAGGCUUAACUAUACAACGCUCAAG
rnacentral:rRNA from 1 species